rnacentral:rRNA from 1 species
AUUGAACGCUGGCGGCAUGCUUUACACAUGCAAGUCGAGCGGUAACAGGCCGCAAGGUGCUGACGAGUGGCGAACGGGUGAGUAAUGCAUCGGAACGUGCCCAGUCGUGGGGGAUAACGCAGCGAAAGCUGUGCUAAUACCGCAUACGAUCUAUGGAUGAAAGCGGGGGACCGUAAGGCCUCGCGCGAUUGGAGCGGCCGAUGUCAGAUUAGGUAGUUGGUGGGGAAAAGGCUCACCAAGCCAACGAUCUGUAGCUGGUCUGAGAGGACGACCAGCCAAACUGGGACUGAGACACGGCCCAGACUCCUACGGGAGGCAGCAGUGUGGAAUUUUGGACAAUGGGCGCAAGCCUGAUCCAGCAAUGCCGCGUGCAGGAAGAAGGCCUUCGGGUUGUAAACUGCUUUUGUACGGAACGAAGAGGUUUGGGUUAAUACCCUGGGCCGAUGACGGUACCGUAAGAAUAAGCACCGGCUAACUACGUGCCAGCCGCCGCCGCGGUAA